AUGGGAAGAGCCGAGCCCGUAGGUGCUGGUGGGGGUGGUGACGGGACUGGGAAGACGUCCUGGCCGGAGGUGGUGGGUUGGUCGGUGCAGAGAGCGGCAACACAUAUCAACGGCGAUAGGCCGGACGUCUCGGUCACCCUGAUCUAUUCUACUCCCCCGUGGCCGCCUGGCCACAACCCCUGGCGCGUGGUCGUCAUAUCCAACGAAGCUGGAGUCGUUGUGAAGACCCCCGUCAUCGGCUAG
rnacentral:rRNA from 1 species